ACAAAGACUGACGCUCAGGUGCGAAAGCGUGGGGAGCAAACAGGAUUAGAUACCCUGGUAGUCCACGCCGUAAACGAUGUCUACUUGGAGGUUGUGCCCUUGAGGCGUGGCUUCCGGAGCUAACGCGUUAAGUAGACCGCCUGGGGAGUACGGCCGCAAGGUUAAAACUCAAAUGAAUUGACGGGGGCCCGCACAAGCGGUGGAGCAUGUGGUUUAAUUCGAUGCAACGCGAAGAACCUUACCUGGUCUUGACAUCCACGGAAGUUUUCAGAGAUGAGAAUGUGCCUUCGGGAACCGUGAGACAGGUGCUGCAUGGCUGUCGUCAGCUCGUGUUGUGAAAUGUUGGGUUAAGUCCCGCAACGAGCGCAACCC
rnacentral:rRNA from 1 species